rnacentral:rRNA from 1 species
AAUCCAUAGGUUAAUGAGGCGAACCGGGGGAACUGAAACAUCUAAGUACCCCGAGGAAAAGAAAUCAACCGAGAUUCCCCCAGUAGCGGCGAGCGAACGGGGAGGAGCCCAGAGCCUGAAUCAGCAUGUGUGUUAGUGGAAGCGUCUGGAAAGGCGCGCGAUACAGGGUGACAGCCCCGUACACAAAAGCGCAUGUGCUGUGAGCUCGAUGAGUAGGGCGGGACACGUGGUAUCCUGUCUGAAUAUGGGGGGACCAUCCUCCAAGGCUAAAUACUCCUGACUGACCGAUAGUGAACCAGUACCGUGAGGGAAAGGCGAAAAGAACCCCGGCGAGGGGAGUGAAAAAGAACCUGAAACCGUGUACGUACAAGCAGUGGGAGCACCCUUUGGGUGUGACUGCGUACCUUUUGUAUAAUGGGUCAGCGACUUAUAUUCUGUAGCAAGGUUAACCGAAUAGGGGAGCCGGAGGGAAACCGAGUCUUAACCGGGCGUUAAGUUGCAGGGUAUAGACCCGAAACCCGGUGAUCUAGCCAUGGGCAGGUUGAAGGUUGGGUAACACUAACUGGAGGACCGAACCGACUAAUGUUGAAAAAUUAGCGGAUGACCUGUGGCUGGGGGUGAAAGGCCAAUCAAACCGGGAGAUAGCUGGUUCUCCCCGAAAGCUAUUUAGGUAGCGCCUCGUGAAUUCAUCUCCGGGGGUAGAGCACUGUUUCGGCUAGGGGGCCAUCCCGGCUUACCAACCCGAUGCAAACUGCGAAUACCGGAGAAUGUUAUCACGGGAGACACACGGCGGGUGCUAACGUCCGUCGUGAAGAGGGAAACAACCCAGACCGCCAGCUAAGGUCCCAAAGUCAUGGUUAAGUGGGAAACGAUGUGGGAAGGCCCAGACAGCCAGGAUGUUGGCUUAGAAGCAGCCAUCAUUUAAAGAAAGCGUAAUAGCUCACUGGUCGAGUCGGCCUGCGCGGAAGAUGUAACGGGGCUAAACCAUGCACCGAAGCUGCGGCAGCGACACUGUGUGUUGUUGGGUAGGGGAGCGUUCUGUAAGCCUGUGAAGGUGUGUCGUGAGGCAUGCUGGAGGUAUCAGAAGUGCGAAUGCUGACAUAAGUAACGAUAAAGCGGGUGAAAAGCCCGCUCGCCGGAAGACCAAGGGUUCCUGUCCAACGUUAAUCGGGGCAGGGUGAGUCGACCCCUAAGGCGAGGCCGAAAGGCGUAGUCGAUGGGAAACGGGUUAAUAUUCCCGUACUUGGUGUUACUGCGAAGGGGGGACGGAGAAGGCUAUGUUGGCCGGGCGACGGUUGUCCCGGUUUAAGCGUGUAGGUGUGUGUUCCAGGUAAAUCCGGUUCACUUUAACACUGAGGCGUGACGACGAGGCACUACGGUGCUGAAGCAACAAAUGCCCUGCUUCCAGGAAAAGCCUCUAAGCAUCAGGUAACAUCAAAUCGUACCCCAAACCGACACAGGUGGUCAGGUAGAGAAUACCAAGGCGCUUGAGAGAACUCGGGUGAAGGAACUAGGCAAAAUGGUGCCGUAACUUCGGGAGAAGGCACGCUGACACGUAGGUGAAGUGAUUUACUCAUGGAGCUGAAGUCAGUCGAAGAUACCAGCUGGCUGCAACUGUUUAUUAAAAACACAGCACUGUGCAAACACGAAAGUGGACGUAUACGGUGUGACGCCUGCCCGGUGCCGGAAGGUUAAUUGAUGGGGUCAGCGCAAGCGAAGCUCCUGAUCGAAGCCCCGGUAAACGGCGGCCGUAACUAUAACGGUCCUAAGGUAGCGAAAUUCCUUGUCGGGUAAGUUCCGACCUGCACGAAUGGCGUAAUGAUGGCCAGGCUGUCUCCACCCGAGACUCAGUGAAAUUGAACUCGCUGUGAAGAUGCAGUGUACCCGCGGCAAGACGGAAAGACCCCGUGAACCUUUACUAUAGCUUGACACUGAACAUUGAGCCUUGAUGUGUAGGAUAGGUGGGAGGCUUUGAAGUGUGGACGCCAGUCUGCAUGGAGCCGACCUUGAAAUACCACCCUUUAAUGUUUGAUGUUCUAACGUGGACCCGUUACCCGGGUUGCGGACAGUGUCUGGUGGGUAGUUUGACUGGGGCGGUCUCCUCCUAAAGAGUAACGGAGGAGCACGAAGGUUGGCUAAUCCUGGUCGGACAUCAGGAGGUUAGUGCAAUGGCAUAAGCCAGCUUGACUGCGAGCGUGACGGCGCGAGCAGGUGCGAAAGCAGGUCAUAGUGAUCCGGUGGUUCUGAAUGGAAGGGCCAUCGCUCAACGGAUAAAAGGUACUCCGGGGAUAACAGGCUGAUACCGCCCAAGAGUUCAUAUCGACGGCGGUGUUUGGCACCUCGAUGUCGGCUCAUCACAUCCUGGGGCUGAAGUAGGUCCCAAGGGUAUGGCUGUUCGCCAUUUAAAGUGGUACGCGAGCUGGGUUUAGAACGUCGUGAGACAGUUCGGUCCCUAUCUGCCGUGGGCGCUGGAGAACUGAGGGGGGCUGCUCCUAGUACGAGAGGACCGGAGUGGACGCAUCACUGGUGUUCGGGUUGUCAUGCCAAUGGCACUGCCCGGUAGCU